GUCCCUACAUUAAUUAUGAACAUACCCAAAUUAUGUACACAUAUUUGUUAAGAGUUCGAAAUCAACUACUCCAUUGCCAAUAAUUAAUAGGUUGCAUCCACAUCCAUUGCCAACAACUUUAUACAAGAUCUAAAUGUGCAAACAUUAGAUUAUAACAUAUCCAAGUCAUAUAUCUCUCACUUAGUUAAAAGAGUCCAAUUAAGCGAUUGAUGAGCGAAUGGAGUCUAAAAGCUUCACUAUAACCACUAUAUAUAGAGACUGAGUGGCACAGAAGUCCUCCAUAAACACAUACCAAUAGUGCUACACAACAUAGAUCAUGAACAACACAAAAGUAGCUGGAGUGUUAUGCUUCCUAGUCCUUGUGGCUCUCUCUUCUUGUUCGCUCCAUGCACGAGCAGCCAACGACAUAGAUCACUGCCUCCUUGAUAAAAAAAAGGUGAUGCGAGACUGUUGGCAUCACAUCGAAAAGAAACUUGGUGACCAGUACCCGCCACUCCGUAGCGCAUGUUGCAAUACAAUAAGAGAUGCAAAAGACAUCCACUGCGUCUGUGAUCGGUUCACCGCUCACGAACUGACUUUGCUCAGUCUAGCCAAGUUUGCCAUGGCUACACAUGUAUGCGGCAAUGGGUUGCACACAUGCACUCACUGUGCAGGUUAUCAUGUUCCAGAAAUAAAGCUACCACCUCCACCCGCGGCAAGUACCUAGGCCUUAAGUGUAAGACCAUUUUCAUAAUGGAGAAAUAAUUAAAUAAAGCAAAGAAUGAUGUCAGAUGAAUGGCAUUUGCUGUGUAUUUGACCUUUUUUGUGUGUAUUAAAAAAAAUUGGGCAUAGCCUCGUCA